ACAGAAUAAGUGGACUAUGCUGUCCUCUUUCUAACAUAGGCCAAAAUAAACAUAACUUUGAUAUUGGAUUAACUUACUAGGUUUAUUGUUGCUGGCGCGUACUCCAGGCGCUGGCAGCCUAAAGGCUCCCACAUACUCGGGCGUAGCUACUGUGCGCAUACUGUGAGCUGUGCGGACUUCAUGCUGACUCUCCGCUAACGUUUUACCCUUCAUAGUCCAGCGUACUAUUGCCUAGAUUUCUUGUGGUAAAUUCCUACAAUUCCCACACUUUCUGCCAGUGGGAUAUAGCGGGGGAACAGAUGGUAAAAUGUGUGAUUAGCUAGCUGAGCACUUAGAGCCGUUUCGUUUCCAGGAGGCUCCCACCACACUCCUUCCAUAAGUACGCGCGGACCUCCUUGGAGUGAAGUACGCCCGAGUAUGAGGGGGCCUUUACAUGAAUACACUUCUAGUUUUGACAUUACAGUCAGGCAGUCUUGUAGACUACUCAGGGGUCCGAUUAAAUAGUGACACAGUGUGCCGUAAUGCUCCGAAUAUCCAUUGACCAAAGUGGCUUAGACAUUUUAACAGGUUUUUCAGUGCAUUGUACCACACAAAAGCCGUUAGUAAGCACAAGUAUGAUAACCAUAUAUAAGGUGCACCGGAUUAUAAGGUGCACCAUCAAUUUUUGAGAAAAUUUAAGGAUUUUGAGUGCACCAUAUAGUCCAAAAAAUACGGUAUUUGUUUAAACUGUCCCUAUGACCUGAGACAUAUAACCUGUGAAAAAAAAUCCAAUUCCUCUGGCUCCUCCCAGUGGUCCUACGGCCAUCUGGAGAAAUGUACCGCUCCCAGGCAGAAACAAGCAAUCAGAGCCAGGAGGAAUGUCUAACGCCGGGCUGAAAUUGAAUGUGGUGGGGUUGCGGUCCUGAUCCAGUUCCAGUUUUCCGCAAACCCUGACUCACACUGCUCUUAGGUCAGCUUUGGCUACAGUUGCUGAAAUGGUGUUGACGAGAACAGAAGUUAAUGUGGUCUGUUGCUAUUCCUCAUAAAUGAUUAAAAAACAGCUAUGAUUUUCGUUUUUCAGGGCAAAACUUGUUAUCCAUGCGCUUAAAUAUCCUAUUUCAUCCUCCAGAAGCCUCUCUGCAUCCUCGUGUUUCUAUGUUGCUGUUUUGUUUACACUAGUUAAGCUAGCUCAGUUGGUGCCGUGAUUUUGUUUCUAAAUUCACCAGAACUUUAUCCUGUCUAGCGCCCAACUUUUCUUCAGGAGCUUGAUCCGGGGAUUGCUGCGGCGGCUGGUCAAACUUCCUUCUUGCGAAAUUUUUUGCAUAGCUGCACGGCCUCGGUAAUCGGACACGCAACCGCAUGUAACUGAUGUGAGUCGAGACAUUGAUAUUUAAUUAUUUGUAUUCCUUGCGGUGUUGCAACCGUGUCUGCACCGCAUUCAAUGUGAGACCGGGGUUUGUACUGUCCAUUGUGCUAGUGUAAGCACUGCUCACCUCACACGAACCCCUGUGUAAGCUCUCUAAGGUCUGCUUCAAUAUAGUGACUCCAGAACGACUGGUGCUUUUGGUAAAGUCGCAAUUAAAACAAAAUCAAACAGUUUCUUGCUAGUCCCUUUUUGAAAAACAAUCGCUACAGGGGUCUAAAAAGUUGCUAAAUAUAGCAACAAAGACACUAGAUGGGCAACACUGGACUGUCGUCUCUGACUUUCCUUCCCUCCUGAGAGCAGCGCACUGUGGUAGCUACUAGCAGCUUUGAAGCCAGACAUGAAGGAGUAGGCAGGGUGUGUUGGUUUUUCAAAAUAAAGUACAUUGUAAUGUUUCAUGGAAUUUAAAUUCAUUUCAAAUGCGGGUAAUGGUACACAAAUAUACACUAUACAUAAUAUGGAAUAAAUCUCUCAUAUAAUUUACAUUGUUUUACCAUAUAUUUGAAUAAAACUUAAUUCUGAAGGUGUGCCGGCUUUUAUUUUGCUGUGGCAGUGCACCACGAUCAAUUACAUGUAGUGUAAAGCUAUGAUGGUUAUUUUGUUCCAAAAGUAUUUGUGCCUUGUAAGCGUGAAUUUAAAGUUGUAGAGAGAGUUCCAUUCCAAGUUUUGUAUUUAUAGAAUAAAAAAAAAUCACAAGUACAAUUUUUUUUUUUACACCUGUUCAAAUUUUAUGUACAAGUACACAAAUUCUGUUCUGUGAGUUGCACAUCAGAAAUGUCUUCCAUUCAGUUUUGCUACAGUUGAUCUAAAUAAAACAAAUGGUGCAAAACAAAGUCAAACACAUGUAUUAAUAUCUUCAACAAAUAAUUUUUAAUAUUUUUUUCCCCCCAACACAAAUACAAAUCAAUAAAUACAACGGCACAAAUCUGCUGCUGUGAGUCACAAAUUCAACUUUACAAGUUACGCCUUCAUUUUCACUUUUGACACAAAUGUCUCACCAGUAAAAAUGAUCUGUGACUUGUGCGUAGUACCCUUGAUCGGCCAGCAGGGGGCACUGCCUGCUCGGUCAGACUGUACCAACCGGAAGUACAUAUAUGGCCUACUGCCUUGUUGCUUUUCAAGGACCCAGCCCACAUAUGCCUUCGAAGGACGCAGCUGUCACAGUCACUACCCGAUCCAUACCAGCACGAUCAAUUCCAUCAGCUCAUUUGCACAUGCACGAACAGAAUAACUUCAAGCUGCGUCGAGAAGGACCUCGCUGCAGCAAACAGAAAGGGGUGGGGACGGAUGACUGUCAGUCCCAUACCUUAUUUGGUAAUGGGACUAAUGCACUCCGGAAAUGAAGUGGCGCUAUUUUCAUAAUCACUAGUACCUUAAAGAAGCGGAGUUGAGAGGUCGAUUGAAAGAACUUUGAGAGGUUCUUCCACUGAUGUCCGGCACACGAUCCACAAUGCAAAACCCACAAAGUCAGCAAAAGUGUCCAUGAGUCGUGCAAGGUACAGAACCAUAUAGCAAAAGCUGCUAUGGCUCAACAUAACGAUGCAAACGAUAUCGCCAAUCUUACAGAUGCCUUUGAAUGGACUUAAAGCUGUUCUCCAGCAGGUGGUACUAGCAUAGGGAGACAAAGCUUACCUCACUCUGGCAUGGCAAGACACACCUUGACAUCGACCUGCAAGUGCUUUGAGGCCAUUGUGUCUGACCCAGUUUCAGUGAAGAAGACUCACUUUGCUUGGCUGGAUGGUAAGAUCAACUGGGGUAAAUUUUCAAAGUCAUUCAAGGCAAAAAAUCGGAUUCCUUUUGUGGUUGAAACGUGUUCUUCCUGCAACCGGCAAUAUAAAGACUGUGUGGGCUUCACCGGAAAUGGAAGAUGAGGAGAGUACCCUCGUUGCUACUCUGAUGGCAUACCUGGACACUGCCCUGAAUGUUAAUACUGUAUGCAAGGAGAACAUUAGUUAUUUUCCAGUCUUUUAAACAUUUCAGUUGUCACAUAUUGUUGUUCGUUUUUUUUGUGACAUGUCAUUUUAAAUCAUUUCUGCUGAAGCACGUUUGCCUUUUGACAAAUGCAGUCAUUCUUUUUCAUAAUGUGUUCUUUCAAUAUUAUGUAUUACAUUAUUACCGUUGUCAUGUUUGGUUUAAGAUGUCUGACCCACAUGCAGACAUACGCUUACCACGGAGCUCUAGGAACUAAACCGGGGGGAGUGAGAUGGGCUCAGCUGAUGAUUGAGGAGCAGAUGACAGUGACCGGUGAACGGAGGUUGGGCAGGGUCCGAGCAGCGCCGGCGGGUCCAGGGAUCCAGAAGGAACAGCGGGAGGAACCAGGAGAGUCCGGGAGUGACCAGGGUGAAUCCGGGAAGGGAAAACUCGCGCCCAACUUGGUACCACCAAGUGAGUUUGAGGGGACGGUCGCCAGAGCAGAAUCUGAGCGGGGUGUGGAUUGGGGAGCCUGGUCUUCUCGGCGCAGAGUCACACAAGAGUAACGUUCCAAAAACACGAGAGCAUUGAAGAAAACACACGAGACAAAGAUUAGAUCCAAAACGGGGAUCGAAAAACUCAUGGGUCUGAAGCUCAGGAGGUGGUAGAUGGCCUUUAGGCAUACCGCGACAAGGUAAUACUCUGGCAUCCUCCCGCUGUUCUUAUAGUGCGCUGCUCUUAUAGUGCGCUGAGGUGUGUCAGUCCCGCCCACCGGUCAGCUGCUGUCACCUGUGAGCAGAGGAGAGCGCAGAGCCGGCAAGGCUGCACGGCUCUGCCUGCUGAGCCCUGACAACCGUUAUUUGGGUUUCAUAGAAAUUGUGUUGUUUCCAGACAAAGUUACAUUGUGGCUGUAAUAUCUUGAAGAGAGUAGAACCAAUAAAGUAGUUGUAAAUAUAUUGUAACAACGUUGUUUAACAGAUGGAUAACCUUGUUUUAAAAAUGUACAAUACAAGCAAAUUUAAUAACUUUAAAUAACUUAAAAUACAAUGUUUCUUAUUCUUUUUGAACAAUGACUGGAAUCAAUACAAAUUUUCUUUACAAACCUGACAUACGGCCAAGUUGUUUAUGGUUUAACAGUCAAAAUCAACUAUUGUUUUUUUUUUGUAAUAAAGCAAGCACACACAGAAACAUUUUGUCCGGUUACAAAGUCAUGACACAAACAUAAGAUGAAAGGUAUGCUGUGCAAAGGUGGAGACCGGGUGGGGGUGAAGAAAGCUCAGUUGAAGAGCAGUUGCACACAUCAAGCAUAAAGCCGGACUUUAUAAAGAGUGGAGGAGAUGAGACCGCCGCCGUUAGGCUGGGACGGAGGCGCAUAAUCAGGAUAUUGGCUGAGCAGGUGAGAUGAAGACAGUUAUGGUUAGAAUUUACACAUUAGUUUAAUUUAUGUAUCCAAUGACUUUAUUCAAAAAGGUUUUCAUUUAGAAAAAAAACAAAAAGCUCAUCCACAGCGGAUCAUUCUCUCUGGCGGUUACCAGCGCCAUGUCUACUGCUGGGAUUCGAGCGCCGAAGAUUAUUUCUUGUCAAAUAAACUUUCUAAAACCUACUUUCUUUAAGUGAAUCUUUCCUGGUUGAAGCUACAUUUAAAAUUUUAAAUGAAUCACUUUGGGUUUUGCAAAAAUUGGGUAUUUAAGGUCUUUGGAGCGCAGUUUAUGAAUCGAUUGCAAUUGGUAGAAUUGAUAUGGAAUUUCUAAAUGGAAUAGUGGGACACCAAUCAGUUUACUGGAGUCCUUUUAUAGGAAAAGUUUCCAAUGAGACAUUAUGGUAAACAUCGAUAAUAGUUGAGCCAGGUCGCCUGCAACCAAGUAUAUCUUAGUUUUCGGAAUGCGAUUUGUUAGAAGUUCAAAAGUCAUUUGGUUUGUUUCUAAAUUGUAUUCACAAUGUGAAUAAUAAGAAAAAUAUUUGGCAAAUAAACAGAACAAAAGUGAAUGGACAUACUAAGUUGGCCAAAAUUUUUGACUAAAUGUAUUAGCGACCAAACCUCUUUUCCAUCUAGUCCUUAUUAAAUAGGGCACACGCUAUUAUAUUUUAAAUUUUAACUUAUUUAUUAUAAGAGUGCCAUUUACAAAAUCAAAAUCUAUUAUUUGAACUUCAGCACCAGCAAGUAUUUGGUUAUAUCUGUUUUCUUAAUCUGCGAUGGACUGGCGAUCUGUCCAGGAUCCACCGCAGCAGCCCUCACGACCCCACUAUAGGGAUAAGUAUGAUAUUUAAUGGAUGGAUAAAUGUGUUCUUAAUGUAAUAUACAUUUGUCUCUAAACUAUUAAUUUGAUAUACGUUUUAUGGCAUUUGUUUGUGAUUGGGUGUAAGGAUAGAAAAAUACAUCUCCAUAAUGAUUCCUUAUUGUUGCUUAUUUUAGAUUGUUUGUUGCUAAUGUAAUUUUAACUUCCGAAAAUGAGAUUUAAUGAAGAUUUAAAAAAAUAAAAAAGGGACACACCACGUGACAGACAUACCA